UGCAAGUCGAGCGAAUGGAUUGAGAGCUUGCUCUCAUGAAGUUAGCGGCGGACGGGUGAGUAACACGUGGGUAACCUGCCCAUAAGACUGGGAUAACUCCGGGAAACCGGGGCUAAUACCGGAUAACAUUUUGAACUGCAUGGUUCGAAAUUGAAAGGCGGCUUCGGCUGUCACUUAUGGAUGGACCCGCGUCGCAUUAGCUAGUUGGUGAGGUAACGGCUCACCAAGGCAACGAUGCGUAGCCGACCUGAGAGGGUGAUCGGCCACACUGGGACUGAGACACGGCCCAGACUCCUACGGGAGGCAGCAGUAGGGAAUCUUCCGCAAUGGACGAAAGUCUGACGGAGCAACGCCGCGUGAGUGAUGAAGGCUUUCGGGUCGUAAAACUCUGUUGUUAGGGAAGAACAAGUGCUAGUUGAAUAAGCUGGCACCUUGACGGUACCUAACCAGAAAGCCACGGCUAACUACGUGCCAGCAGCCGCGGUAAUACGUAGGUGGCAAGCGUUAUCCGGAAUUAUUGGGCGUAAAGCGCGCGCAGGUGGUUUCUUAAGUCUGAUGUGAAAGCCCACGGCUCAACCGUGGAGGGUCAUUG
rnacentral:rRNA from 1 species